CUUUUUAAUAUUCCAUUUGUGUCACAAACAUCAUGAAAUUGAUCCUUUUUUAAAAGAAUCUUAGAACAUAUCAUUGCAAAUGAGUAAACAUCAGCUUCAAGAGGACAUAUUGCCAUUGUUUGAAAUCUAUUUUUUAAUGCCUCAAGAGUCGUAUAUUUAGGACUACGAUAAAUGUAAUUAUUCUUUGAGGCUUUUGGAUUUCUUCCAACUUCAAUCUUCGACAUUC
rnacentral:lncRNA from 1 species